rnacentral:rRNA from 1 species
CCUAAUCGUUGGACUGCGGGAGAUACUGUCGGGCUAGGGGGCGGGAGAAGCCGAUGGUAUUCCCGGGGUAGGGGUGAAAUCCUAUAAUCCCGGGAGGACCACCAGUGGCGAAGGCGGUCGGCUAGAACGCGCUCGACGGUGAUGGACGAAAGCUGGGGGAGCGAACCGGAUUAGAUACCCGGGUAGUCCCAGCCGUAAACGAUGCGGGCUAGGUGUUGGGGAGGCUACGAGCCUCUUCAGUGCCGCAGCGAAAACGUUAAGCCCGCCGCCUGGGGAGUACGGCCGCAAGGCUGAAACUUAAAGGAAUUGGCGGGGGAGCACCACAAGGGGUGAAGCUUGCGGUUCAAUUGGAGUCAACGCCGGGAACCUUACCGGGGGCGACAGCAGGAUGAAGGCCAGAUUGAAGGUCUUACCAGACGAGCUGAGAGGAGGUGCAUGGCCGUCGCCAGUUCGUGCCGUGAGGUGUCCUGU